rnacentral:rRNA from 1 species
UACGUAGGUGGCAAGCGUUGUUCGGAAUCACUGGGCGUAAAGGGCGCGUAGGCGGCUUUGUAAGUCGGGGGUGAAAGCCUGUGGCUCAACCACAGAAUUGCCUUCGAUACUGCAUGGCUUGAGACCGGAAGAGGUUAGUGGAACUGCGAGUGUAGAGGUGAAAUUCGUAGAUAUUCGCAAGAACACCAGUGGCGAAGGCGGCUGACUGGUCCGGUUCUGACGCUGAGGCGCGAAAGCGUGGGGAGCAAACAGG